UGUGGAUGUAAAUCUGCCUUUUCUGUCUUCUUGAAGCCUUUAAAUAUGUCUUGGGAGGCUGCCUAGGAUUCCUUGGCAGUCCAUGAGUCUUUUAGAAGCUGUCCAAAGUGCCCUUGGUCCUAUAUGUGCCUUCUUUGUGCAUGUGUAAAGGCAAAAACGUGGAGCAUGCAUGGGAUUGCAAGUGGGGGCUUUUUGGUCUUUUAAUUGCUGCCCAAGGUCUUCAAGGUGUUGCCCAAGGAGUCCAAGAGGUUGCCCAUGCACUAAUAAGGAAGGUGGAGCCUCCUUUUGAAAUUUGAAUGUGCAUGGCAUGAAGUGGGAAACAUGUGAUCUUUGGAUUUGGCUUCCUUAAUAAGCUGGAUCUUGAAAUCCAAUAUUUGAAUGUGAAUCUUGAAGAUUUGGAUUUCAAAAUACUUCCCUUGUUUGGCUCCUCAAAUAUGACAACUUGGAUAUGGCUUCUUGAAUAAGGAAAGGGAGUGUUGAGAGGGACUUUCUGCUGCCUAAAAUUGCUUUCGGAAGUGGGACUUUCGGCUCUGGAGUGAAGGUUCGGCGGCCGAAGGUGCUUCCGAAGGUGGGUGACUUUCGGCUCUGAACCGGACUUUCAGCUUCUGAAAGUGCUUCCGAAGGUGGGUGACUUUCGGCUUCUGAAGGUGCUUCCGAAGGUGGUGGAGUUUCGGAUCUGGAGGUCACUUUCGGCUUCCGAAGGUGACUUUUCUGUUUUUGGCACUUUUUGGCAUUUUUAAGAGCAUUUUCUCCGGAUUGUCUCUUUACACCUAAUACCUGCAAAACAUGAUUAAAACCACAAAAUUAGGUAGAAUAAAUGUAAGUAAACAUCAAUAUCAUCAUGAUAAAGUGGACUAAAAUAUGCUCUAUCAAAUACCCCCACACUUAGCCUUUUGCUUGUCCUCAAGUAAAUAAACAUAGUUAAACAAGUUUUCUUUACUCUAGAUCCUUAUUUCCAUUUAAGCUCUUACUCAAGACACCUAUUUUGAAUCAUUGCAGUGAAGAAUAUAUGCAUGAAGAUUACUCACCUUCUUUCCUUGUUUUUCUUUACUUACCAUGGCUAGGAUUUGUUUUCCUCAAGAGAGACCAUACAUGCACAUUUUUGUUAAGACCUUUUCUAGCUUUCGGAGUGACCUGCCCUUACCGUGAAGUACUUUAUUCAGGCUUUUUGCACUUUUAAUUUUGCUUGAAAAAGUCACCAACCUUUUGACGUGAAGAUACAUAUUUGUGAUACCCACCCCCAGUUACUCAGUUGGUCACCUUUCCAAGUGGCUACUAGCUUUGUUCAUAGUCUUUUGACCAUUGGAACAGUUUUUGAUUUGUGCUUUUGAGGUCUUUGCCUUUGCUGAAUUUUCUUUCUCUCAAUGAUUUGGGCAAAUCAACACCAAUUGCUAAAUCAAGUCACAUUAAGUUCAUUCACACAACUUUCAAUUUAUUCUCAUCAAUUGAGGGUCAUCAAUAUAUUUUUCACAAUGGCAAGCUCAAAGAUUCAAUUCAAAAGGCAAUUCUCAAACAUGAAUAUAACUCACUGUAAUUGAUUCAACAUAAGUUUAAAGAGUCAUCACAUCAAUGGGGUCAUGGAAAGAAAAACUCAUCCAACACAGUUCAUCAGUUUGAGUAGAGCAAAACAAAAAGGAAGAAGAAGGUUGUGGUUGUGUGUGUUUUAUUGAAAGCAUAAACAACAAAAAUGAAAAAAAAAUUUCCUAAUGCAAGCAACUAAAGAUUAAAGCAAAAAUAAACUUAAAAGUAAAAAUUCAGAGAUAUGCACCCCCACACCUAAAUCAUGCAUUGUCCUCAAUGUAUAAGAAACAUAAAAGAACAAAGGAAACUGAGUACUCCCCUGGGUGUGGUGUGCAUGGUGCGAUCCACUUGAUCAAGGCUCAAGUAAUUGGGGAAGAGAAAAGCGUCCCAACUACAUUGAGCAAAAAGUGUAGCACUCCUUUUGAUUUAGUCAUGAACUAUCCUACUUUUUCCAUGUACUCAUGAAGUAACAUGAUUAGCUUCUCCUCUUUUAGAAGAGGUGUGCCUCUAGCCUUUAUGUUUGCAUUUUUGAGAUGAUUGGGAAGCACCUUGAAUUCCAAUUCAUGUUUCUCCAUGUGUAGCUGCAAUUUAGUACUAAAAUCUGGCAAAACAAACUCUACCUUAUCCGGAGGUUUGGGAAGGCAUUGAUCUGCAUGGUCCUUUAGUUUAGGUGCUUGGAAUACCAUUUGUUCCUUGUGAGCAUGGGCUGUUUUCAUUGGAUGAAUGGUAGAAUUGGAUUCAGUUUCCUCCUUCUGCAUAGGACCUACCUGAAGUGGAAGACUGAUAUGCGUUGGAAGCUGAAGUGAGAGGUUCGGCAGCCGAAAGGUGGUGGAGUUCGGCGGCCGAAAGGUGGUGGUUUCAGUUUGCGCAAGGCUGAUAUGAAGAGGUGCGAUUGGCUCUCCUUUGUUCUGCGCAUGUUUGCAGUCCACCUGUUGGAUGCAACAGUCAGUUUCUUUCAGUUCUGCCUCUUUCUGGCUCUCUUCCCUGCAAAGAUCAUUGUUUAGCAUAUCAUCUUGAUUUACAUAAAAAUCAUCUUCACUCAAACAAUCAAUGACAUCUAAACUAUUAACAGGCUCUGUUUGACCAGUUGGUUUGGACAAACAGUUUUCUAGCUGUUCUUUUUCAGCUGCUUGUUCUUGUACUUGCCAACUUUCAUCAUCUUCCUCAUCAUCUUGAAGUUCUUUCUCUCUUCUUAACAUGGAUGCAGUCAGCUGUCCUAUGUCCUGUCGCAUGCUCUGCAUGGCACUUACCAUUGUUUCCAUCAUCUUCUCAAGGUGCUGGUAAUCCUAGUAGUUGUUAGCCUCUGCAUAACUGAAGUCUGGAUAGUCUUCCCAACCUGGAUUGUAUGUGUUAUAGUAUGAAUCAUGUCUUGGCUGUUCAUAGAAUCCUCCAUAUGCAUGCACUGGUUGGUCAUACUGAUAAAGUGUGGGACAUUGAUCAGUUGGGUGUCCCACAUAUCUACAGAUCCUACAUGGUGUUGGUGGCUGGGUGAACUAGUUCUGUGGCAAACUCUUUCAUAAAAGAUGUUAGAAAAAAAAAGAUCAGAUCUACUUAACUCAUCCAUGAUUCAGAUCUGUGAUGGUGAAUGAGCCAUUUGGUGAGAUGUUCGGCAGCUGGAGAAGGGAAGAUUCGGCGACCGAAUGAAGAGGAAUUUCGGCAGCCGAAUGUUGGGCAGAAGGUUCUGCGUUGGAGGCUUGCUUUCCUAGCCUUCUGAGAGUGCGUUCAAUUUCUGGAUCAAAGGGCAGAGUGUCCCUGUGUUCAGAUCUGGUCAUGAAAGAAAAAUAAACAAGUUAAAUCAAUUCUCCGGCAACGGUGCCAAUUUUUGACUCGCGGUUGUCGAAGCCGGUCAAAAAUAACCUCUACGGUUAUCAACAAUCUUACAACUGCAGAUAGUGGUAAAGGAUCGAAUCCAUAGAGAAUUGAAUACUUAUCUAUUUUUCCCAAACAAGAUCAAGAGAUUCAACUGAAAGCACAACUAAAAGCAAGUAGAUCAAAAGUAAAGUGCAAUAAAGUAAAAAGGGGGGUUUUGAGAUUGAUUUGACUAACAACUAUUGAAAGCAAUUAAAACAGCAAGUAAUUAAAAUAAAAGAGGAAAUCAAUAUGAGAAAGGUCUAGUUGAAGAUAUGGAUCCACUUUGGUUGUUUGGGUUGAUCAUUGAAACUUAAGUUCUUCUUGGUUGGUUCAAUAGAUUAGUUAUGGGGGUGGAAAACGCUUCUCACCACCAUGUCUCUCCUUAUGAUUAAAUCAAUUAGGGAACGUCCUAUAAUCAAUUACUAAUUAACAAAUUGCCAAGGAACGUCCUUGGGCCUUAGGCAUCAAAACAAUUGUCAAUUGCAUAAAGAAUGAGAGAGAUCCAAUCCUAGCUACUCCAAACGCAUGAAGAUGAUGCUAGAUCAUGCAAUUCCUUAGUUUUUACACCAAGUGUUCUUAGGUCAGAAUAUUUCCAGCAAUUACAGACCAACAAAUAUCCCAACUAACAAUCAAUUAACUUUGCAAUCAAGAAUCAAGUGGCCAAUUUGAUCAAAACAACAAAGCAAUCUUAGAAUUAAGCACACAAUUGCAUGAAUAUUGAAUCAAACCAAAAGCAAACACUUUAUGUUGAGAUCUCACAACCCUUUAAACAACCUUAAUUUCAACCAAACUUCAACUAGAAUUAGGGGUUUCAGCCACUCAUGACUGAACCAAAACAGAAAAUAAAAGAAAAGAAAGCAAGAAGAUGAAGAACUGAAGGGGAGAAGCCUUGGAGAGCCUUGGCCGAACCUUGGAGGAGUUGUGUGGAUGUAAAUCUGCCUUUCCUAUCUUCUUGAAGCCUUUAAAUAUGUCUUGGGAGGCUGCCUAGGGUUCCUUGGCAGUCCAUGAGUCUUUUAGAAGCUGUCCAAAGUACUCUUGGUCCCAUAUGUGCCUUCUUUGUGCAUGUGUGAAGGCAAAAACGUGGAGCAUGCAUGGGAUUGCAAGUGGGGGCUUUUUGGUCUUUUAAUUGCUACCCAAGGUCUUCAAGAUGUUGCCCAAGGAUUCCAAGAGGUUGCCCAUGCACUAAUAAGGAAGGUGGAGCCUCCUUUUGAAAUUUGAAUGUGCAUGGUAUGAAGUGGGAAACAUGUGAUCUUUGGAUUUGGCUUCCUUAAUAAGCUGGAUCUUGAAAUCCAAUAUUUGAAUGUGAAUCUUGAAGAUUUGGAUUUCAAAAUACUUCCCUUAUUUGGCUCCUCAAAUAUGACAACUUGGGAUAUGGCUUCUUGAAUAAGGAAAGGGAGUGUUGAGAGGGACUUUCAACUGCCUAAAAUUGCUUCCGGAAGUGGUACUUUCGGCUCUGGAGUGAAGGUUCGGCGGCCGAAGGUGGGUGACUUUCAGCUCUGGACCAGAUGACUCGCGGUUGUCAAAGCCGAUCAAAAAUAACCUUCUUAGUUAUCAACAAUUUACAACUGCAGAUAGUGAUGAAUGAUCGAAUCCACAGAGAAUUGAUUACCUAUUUAUUUUUCUCAACAAGACCAAUAAACUGAAACAAUGAGAUAAACAAAAAAUGAGAUAAACUGAAAGCGGAAUAAAAAUAAAUUGCAGUAAAAGUAAAAUGGGGGGUUUGAGAUUGAUUGUAGUAACUAAUAAUGAGAGUAAUAAUAGAAAGCAAAUAAUUAAAAUAAAAGAGGAAAUCAAUAUGAGAAAAAUCUAGUUGAAGAUAUGGAUCCACUUUGGUUGUUUGAAUUGAUCAUUGAAACUUAGAUUAUCUUGAUUGGUUUAAUAGAUUAAUUAUGGGGGAGGAAGACGCUUCUCACCACCAUGUCUCUCCUUAUGAUUAAAUUAAUUAGGGAACGUCCUCUAAUCAAUUACUAAUUAACAAAUUGCCAAGGAACGUCCUUGGGCCAUAGGCAUCAAAACAAUUGUCAAUUGCAUAAAGAAAUAGAGAGAUCCAAUCCUAGCUACCCAAACGUAUGGAGAUAAUGCUAGAUCAUGCAAUUCCUUGGUUUUUACACCAAGUGUUCUAAGGUUAGAAUAUUUCCAGCAAUUACGGACUAAAAAUAAUCCCAACUAACAAUCAAUUAACUUUGCAAUUAAAAUCAAGUGGCCAAUUUGAUCAAAACAACAAAGUAAUCAUGUAAUUAAAGCAUCAAUUGCAUGAAUAUUGAACAAAACCAAAGACAAUAAUUUAUGUUCAGAUCUCACAACCCAUUAAAAAACCUUAGUUUCAACCAAUUCUCAACUAGAGUUAAAGAAAUCAGCCACUCAUUGGUUGAAUUAAAAACAGAAAAUUAAAAGGAAAAGAAAAGAACCGAAAAUUGAGAGGAAUCUGCCCUGUGCGCCGAACUUGCCGAAUUGCUGAGAGAUGAGAA
rnacentral:lncRNA from 1 species